UGCUGUCAGCUGUUCUGAGU
rnacentral:miRNA from 1 species